GACGAACGCUGGCGGCGUGCCUAAUACAUGCAAGUCGAACGCUUCUUUCCUCCCGAGUGCUUGCACUCAAUUGGAAAGAGGAGUGGCGGACGGGUGAGUAACACGUGGGUAACCUACCCAUCAGAGGGGGAUAACACUUGGAAACAGGUGCUAAUACCGCAUAACAGUUUAUGCCGCAUGGCAUAAGAGUGAAAGGCGCUUUCGGGUGUCGCUGAUGGAUGGACCCGCGGUGCAUUAGCUAGUUGGUGAGGUAACGGCUCACCAAGGCCACGAUGCAUAGCCGACCUGAGAGGGUGAUCGGCCCCACUGGGACUGAGACACGGCCCAGACUCCUACGGGAGGCAGCAGUAGGGAAUCUUCGGCAAUGGACGGAAGUCUGACCGAGCAACGCCGCGUGAGUGAAGAAGGUUUUCGGAUCGUACAACUCUGUUGUUAGAGAAGAACAAGGACGUUAGUAACUGAACGUCCCCUGACGGUAUCUAACCAGAAAGCCACGGCUAACUACGUG
rnacentral:rRNA from 1 species